GACGAACGCUGGCGGCGUGCCUAACACAUGCAAGUCGAGCGGGGUUGAGGCGAGAGGUAACUCGAGCUUCUACCUAGCGGCGGACGGGUGAGUAACGCGUGGGCAACCUGCCUCAAGGUUUGGGAUAACAGCCCGAAAGGGCUGCUAAUACCGGAUAUGCCUAUGGCCUCGCAUGGGGCUAUGAGCAAAGGGGAAACCCGCCUUGAGAUGGGCCCGCGUCCCAUCAGCUAGUUGGUGAGGUAACAGCUCACCAAGGCGACGACGGGUAGCCGGCCUGAGAGGGUGACCGGCCACACUGGGACUGAGACACGGCCCAGACUCCUACGGGGGGCAGCAGUGGGGGAUCUUGCACAAUGGGCGAAAGCCUGAUGCAGCGACGCCGCGUGAGCGAAGAAGGCCUUCGGGUGUAAAGUUCUUUUAUUAUGUGAGCAGUGCUUCUUAUAUUAACAGUAUGGGGAGAGAGAUAUUAGUCAUAUGAAUAAGCAACGGCGUAACUCCG
rnacentral:rRNA from 1 species